UACGGAGGGUGCAAGCGUUAUCCGGAUUUACUGGGUUUAAAGGGUGUGUAGGCGGACUAUUAAGUCAGUGGUGAAAUCCCGAGGCUCAACCUCGGAACUGCCUUUGAUACUAUUAGUCUUGAAUGUUGUUGAGGUGGGCGGAACGGGUCAUGUAGCGGUGAAAUGCAUAGAUAUGACCCGGAACACCGAUUGCGAAGGCAGCCCGCUAAGCAACUAUUGACGCUGAGGCACGAAAGCGUGGGGAAUCAAACAGGAGUG
rnacentral:rRNA from 1 species